AUGAACGCUGGCGGCGUGCCUCAUACAUGCAAGUCGAGCGAACAGACGAGGAGCUUGCUCCUCUGACGUUAGCGGCGGACGGGUGAGUAACACGUGGAUAACCUACCUAUAAGACUGGGAUAACUUCGGGAAACCGGAGCUAAUACCGGAUAAUAUAUUGAACCGCAUGGUUCAAUAGUGAAAGACGGUUUUGCUGUCACUUAUAGAUGGAUCCGCGCCGCAUUAGCUAGUUGGUAAGGUAACGGCUUACCAAGGCAACGAUGCGUAGCCGACCUGAGAGGGUGAUCGGCCAAACCGGAACUGAGACACGGUCCAGACUCCUACGGGAGGCAGCAGUAGGGAAUCUUCCGCAAUGGGCGAAAGCUUGACGGAGCAACGCCGCGUGAGUGAUGAAGGUCUUCGGAUCGUAAAACUCUGUUAUUAGGGAAGAACAAAUGUGUAAGUAACUAUGCACGUCUUGACGGUACCUAAUCAGAAAGCCACGGCUAACUACGUG
rnacentral:rRNA from 1 species